rnacentral:rRNA from 1 species
GUGGGGAAUAUUGGACAAUGGGCGCAAGCCUGAUCCAGCCAUGCCGCGUGAGUGAUGAAGGCCUUAGGGUUGUAAAGCUCUUUUGUCCGGGAAGAUAAUGACUGUACCGGAAGAAUAAGCCCCGGCUAACUUCGUGCCAGCAGCCGCGGUAAUACGAAGGGGGCUAGCGUUGUUCGGAAUCACUGGGCGUAAAGCGCACGUAGGCGGACCAUUAAGUCAGGGGUGAAAGCCUGGAGCUCAACUCCAGAACUGCCUUUGAUAAUGAUGGUCUCGAGUUCGGAAGAGGUUGGUGGAACUGCGAGUGUAGAGGUGAAAUUCGUAGAUAUUCGCAAGAACACAAGUGGCGAAGGCGGCCAACUGGUCCGAUACUGACGCUGAGGUGCGAAAGCGUGGGGAGCAAACAGGAUUAGAAACCCGAGUAGUCC